rnacentral:rRNA from 1 species
UACGUAGGGUGCGAGCGUUGUCCGGAAUUAUUGGGCGUAAAGAGCUCGUAGGCGGUCUGUCGCGUCGAUCGUGAAAACUUGGGGCUUAACCCUGAGCUUGCGGUCGAUACGGGCAUGACUGGAGUUCGGCAGGGGAGACUGGAAUUCCUGGUGUAGCGGUGAAAUGCGCAGAUAUCAGGAGGAACACCGGUGGCGAAGGCGGGUCUCUGGGCCGAGACUGACGCUGAGGAGCGAAAGCGUGGGGAGCGAACAGG